ensembl:lncRNA
GCAGACAAAGUGCCUCAACUUCCACAAUCGGCACUUCCCACAUCAAUCAUCACCUACUUUAUCAUCCAGUUUGGUUGGUUCAGAUGACUUUAAACAGGUUCCUGUGGAAGAAUGAAACACAGGGAGGAGAAGAGAACUGCCGAUUCCCAGGGGCCUGUGUCUGCCAGCGGCUGCUAAGUACCUCUGAGAAACUCUGCUUUGAGCUAAUAGGAACCCCCUGUUCUGGGAAGAUCAGUAUAUGGAACAAAAACCUCUGGGUGGACCCCUGGGCAAGAUGAAUUUGACCGACCAUAUGUUCCAGGACUCCAGCGAGAACAUCACCACCUCAACGUCAGGCCCCACACUACCCAGCAGCCUAGACACAGCGGCCACAGCUGUUUCUGGCUCCAUUGGUGUCGUGGCCCUCAUCUUGCUCCUGGUGGGACUCUUGUCCGUGACUCUGAAGAAAUGGAGGCAUGAGAGACUAUUUAAGAAACAACAGAAGCAUCAGACCAACUUUCUCCACAAAUCCUUGGAGCUUUCCUGCCAUGCCGAUGCCAUAUAUUCCAACGUGAUCAACCUGGCACCCAGGAAAGAGGAUGACUUCGCUGUCUAUGCCAACGUGCCCCCUUUCAACCGCCCCAGGAGGACAUCACCAGACCACGUGGAAUAUGCCUCCAUUGUAUUUCACUGAUGAGAGGCUCGUGAGAUGCUUCAGAGUGGAGAGUCAGACCUGUGCCUAUCUGUAUCCUGAUGCGGCUUUUGCUUUAGAUAUGUGUGUAUAUGUGUGCAUGUGUGUGUGUGUGUCUUUGCACGUGCCUGUGUGUGUUCAUGCACGCCCAUGCUUAAAAACCAUAAUAUGUAUUCUGAUGGAGGUAAAUGACUUGGUAUUUCUUCUAAUUUAUUGGAAGCAAGGUGCAGUUCUAAUGGAAAGGGGUGACAUCUGAGUGACAAGGGACAUAGUCAUUUCAGCCACUCUGAGCCAGAGGCAGGUUCCUGAGAGAGACUGGCCGAAAGAAGAGCCGUCUGUCUCCCCUGCCCCUCAUAAGGCCAGGGCUGAGGAGCAGGGCUCACCCCACUCAGGGACCAGCUCCCGGACUUCGUCUCUGCUGUGCUGCCCUGUAAGGAACUGACUCCCUGCAGAGGUUAACACGUGCAUCACACUCAGGUCUGUGGCUGAUCACCACGCACAUUUUCACAGCAGCUUUCCAGGGCCAUGCAGCAAGUGUGGAGGGAGGCGGCGUGGGGGAGCUGCAAGUCCAUGGGGUCUCAAAGAGUUGGACAUGACUGAAGCAACUUAGCACGCAAAUGCAAUGGAGAAAAGAAAAUUUCAUUUAAAAACAAAGCUUAUGGAAGCCACUUUCAUCUUCGAGGAUGAUGUGAUUCACAUCGUUAAGAAAACACCUAUUCUACGGAUCCAUUCCAUCUAUAGAGACUGGAGAGGGGAGAUGAAAGUAGGAAGGAAACACAAAGAUUUCCAAGCCUCUGCCUUCUUUUCUAUUGAUAAUGGGAAAGUUCAAGAGCAGGCAACCCUUUGUCUUUAACAUAGCUGUAUGAUGACCAGGUACCCUGAUUUGUUGGGGAUUUUCCUGGUGUACAACUGUGGUCCCAGCAAAAUUAUUAUUAGAUCCCCUUUCAUUCUCUAAAUUGUCAUAGUUUGGAUGAUAGAUUAUGUGGUCACCUGUUCACAAGAUUUUGAAAGUGCAAAAGCAAUUCCAAGACCAAUAAGGAAGGGAAAGCAAAGUUGUUUUGUACAAUAAAGUGGGAACGGAAUCGGGGUGGGAGUGGAGG